UACGUAGGGUGCGAGCGUUGUCCGGAAUUAUUGGGCGUAAAGAGCUCGUAGGCGGUGUGUCACGUCGGCCGUGAAAACCUGCAGCUUAACUGUGGGCGUGCGGUCGAUACGGGCAUCACUGGAGUUCGGCAGGGGAGACUGGAAUUCCUGGUGUAGCGGUGAAAUGCGCAGAUAUCAGGAGGAACACCGGUGGCGAAGGCGGGUCUCUGGGGCCGAUACUGACGUGGAGGAGCGAAAGCGUGGGGAG
rnacentral:rRNA from 1 species